CACCGGCAGCUCAAGUGGUAGCCAUUUUUAUUGGGCCUAAAGCGUUCGUAGCCGGUUUGAUAAGUCUCUGGUGAAAUCCUAUGGCUUAACUGUGGGAAUUGCUGGAGAUACUAUUAGACUUGAGGUCGGGAGAGGUUAGCGGUACUCCCAGGGUAGGGGUGAAAUCCUGUAAUCCUGGGAGGACCACCUGUGGCGAAGGCGGCUAACUGGAACGAACCUGACGGUGAGGGACGAAAGCCAGGGGCGCGAACCGG
rnacentral:rRNA from 1 species